rnacentral:tRNA from 1 species
UAGCUCAGUUGGUAGAGCAGUUGGCUUUUAACCAAUUGGUCGUAGGUUCGAAUCC